rnacentral:rRNA from 1 species
AUGCUCAGCUCAGCUCAGCUCGACGGCAUGCUUGACAGCAGGCAUGCGUGUAGCCGUGUACAGCCGGCUGGUUUCGAGCUGCAGACAUGUAUGUAUCGGUCUCUUGUAUCCAGUGGCAUAGGACUGAAUGCUUUACAGAAGGCGUUCAUGUACAGUCGGCUAGCUGGUCGCACAUGGAGCCUGCCUUGCCGCCAUGGAGUGAAGGAGUGCUGGGCUCUUUUCGGUGGCUCGAGAACACUGCAUUCGGUGAAGAUGUUUAGUGAUGCAGAGUGCACACAUGUGUAUCCAGGGGCUGUUUUACAUGGACUGGUAGCAACUGGAGAUACAGAUGAGUCGGUUGGUUGA